rnacentral:piRNA from 1 species
UGGUGUUUAGGGAGUAUCUUCCUAUGAGC